AUGAGGUGGCGCACGGGGAAGAAGAGAUAUGAGUGCUGGGGUGGGGGUGGCGGGAGGAAUCAACCUCCCCAAUACAGAAAUUUCGCCGGGGCCUCACGAGAAGGCCGAAAAAACGCCUCUUGGGGCACAACGGCUGAAGAUGCUCUUAGGACCUCCGGUGCAUUUAACUCAAAACUUAUUCACGAAGGGAUCCAACCGAGCCCGUUACUUAGUCACCUUUUUUAUUACCAGAUUCAUAGAAAACUAGAAGAGCUCGAGGACCCUGUCCGUAAUCCCUCUACAGCUUCUGCCCAAAGACAGCAGAGAUGGAUCCCGCCGCCGUUGGGCUACGUCAAGAUAAAUGUUGAUGCAGGUGCAUUCAUUGAUCAUAAAAGGGGGGCAACAGCUGCAAUCUGUAGCAUUCUUUGCUAA
rnacentral:rRNA from 1 species